CACUUUUGCAGAUUUCUUCGGAUUGAAGCAAUUGUGACUGAGCGGCGGACGGGUGAGUAACGCGUGGGUAACCUGCCUCAUACAGGGGGAUAACAGUUGGAAACGGCUGCUAAUACCGCAUAAGCGCACAGUACCGCAUGGUACCGUGUGAAAAACUCCGGUGGUAUGAGAUGGACCCGCGUCUGAUUAGCUAGUUGGUGGGGUAACGGCCUACCAAGGCGACGAUCAGUAGCCGACCUGAGAGGGUGACCGGCCACAUUGGGACUGAGACACGGCCCAAACUCCUACGGGAGGCAGCAGUA
rnacentral:rRNA from 1 species